UGUAGCUUGACAUUGGGUCUUGGUACUACAUGUACAGGAUAGGUGGGAGGCUUUGAAACCAGGACGCCAGUUUUGGCGGAGCCAUCCUUGGGAUACCACCCUUGUAGUACUGGGACUCUAACCAUAGGCCAUGAAUCUGGUCUUGGGACACUGUCAGGUGGGCAGUUUGACUGGGGCGGUCGCCUCCCAAAAGGUAACGGAGGCGCUCAAAGGUUCUCUCAGUACGGUCGGAAAGCGUACGUAGAGUGUAAAGGC
rnacentral:rRNA from 1 species